UACAGGGGGUGCAAACGUUGCUCGGAAUCAUUGGGCGUAAAGCGCACGUAGGCGGUCUGUUAUGUCGGAUGUGAAAGCCCUUGGCUCAACUGAGGAAGUGCAUCCGAAACUGGCAGGCUAGAGUACUAAAGAGGAUCGCGGAAUUCCCGGUGUAGAGGUGAAAUUCGUAGAUAUCGGAGGAACACCGGUGGCGAAGGCGGCGAUCUGGGUAGAUACUGACGCUGAGGUGCGAAAGCGUGGGGAGCAAACAGG
rnacentral:rRNA from 1 species